GAUCGAUGAUGAGACUUUCACGACGGUCUUCCGAUGAAAUAUCAAAGCUGUGGAUAUCUUUACGUGAAGCUGAGAUC
rfam:Caenorhabditis remanei strain PB4641 contig5.21, whole genome shotgun sequence.